UACGGAGGGGGCAAGCGUUGUUCGGAAUUACUGGGCGUAAAGGGCGCGCAGGCGGCUGCUCAAGUCAGGCGUGAAAGGCCUGGGCUCAACCCGGGAAUUGCGCUUGAGACUGGGCUGGCUUGAGUGCGGGAGAGGAUGGUGGAAUUCCCAGUGUAGAGGUGAAAUUCGUAGAUAUUGGGAAGAACACCGAUGGCGAAGGCAGCCGUCUGGACCGACACUGACGCUGAGGCGCGAAAGCGUGGGGAGCAAACAGG
rnacentral:rRNA from 1 species